rnacentral:misc_RNA from 1 species
UAUAGGUUAUUGCAUACGCCCUGG